rnacentral:rRNA from 1 species
UACGUAGGGUCCGAGCGUUGUCCGGAAUUAUUGGGCGUAAAGGGCUCGUAGGCGGUCUGUUGCGUCGGGAGUGAAAACUUACAGCUUAACUGUGAGCGUGCUUUCGAUACGGGCAGACUUGAGGCAUUCAGGGGAGAACGGAAUUCCUGGUGUAGCGGUGAAAUGCGCAGAUAUCAGGAGGAACACCGGCGGUGUAGACGGCUUGCUAGACCAUAACUGACGCUGAGGCACGAAAGCGUGGGUAGCAAACAGG